rnacentral:lncRNA from 1 species
GGACUCUAUCAUGACAAAUAAAAUGGCAGUAAGAACAUAUAAUAAAGUAGUAAAUAUCAAAACCAAAAGUAACUCCAAAGUAAGAACAGCUCGGAAAUCCAGAUUUAACUACUUAAAGAUAAAUUUUCAAGUAACGAUUAUUUCCAGUAGUCUGAGAUUUUACCUGUAUUAUUACAAUGAGAGCAGCCACAAUAGGUGGACCAAUAACUACAGAAAGGAAAAUUCCCUUUAUCAUGUCCCUAAAGAAUAGCCAUGGUGUUUGCUGUAUGAUAGAUGACAAAAAAAUGUUAGAAUGCAAGCAUAUAUGAAUUUCGCAACAGAUAAACUUCUAUUAAUAUUAGCCAAAUGAGAUGUCAAAUAAAACUAAAGUUGCAGACUAAAAAGAUUGAUGAAAUAAUAGAUAGAUGAUUGAAUUUGAAAGAAGGAUAUGAACCUUAUAUCAUCUCCUUGGCUGCUUCUGAAAUGGCAACAUAUUCUGAUUUAGUGGUUGAGAGAGCAACUUUUAGUGUAACUCUACCAGCAACCACAAACCCCAUCUAAACCAAGCACCAGCCAAUAAGUGCAAUGUCAGGUAUGUUUUUAUUUUCUUUUAGUGUUUGGUGCUUUUUUUUUAAUGAUGGGCUAAAUUAGACAUUCCACUUAAAUGACUGAGUUACUAGCGACGUCUAUUUUAAGAUGGUGUGGAUGUGAUUAUUCGAUCAAGGAGGAUUUAAAUGUAAUUAGCACUAACCUAAAGGAGAGUUCAAUGUAAGUACCCCAAAAUUAAUAUAUUUUUAAUCGAAAAAAUUAGAAGCCCGAAAAUUCUCACUGGAGUGAACUUAUUGAAGAGUGGAGCUAUUAGAACAGGAUAAAUAGUCAGCAUCACAAUAGAAAGAGCAAACAUAAACGCCCAAAGAUAGAUGGCUAAGUAUGGACCUCCAUUCUGCAAAAAUUCAAAUGAAAAUUAAAAUAGGAAGAAAGGACUCUAUCAUGACAAAUAAAAUGGCAGUAAGAACAUAUAAUAAAGUAGUAAAUAUCAAAACCAAAAGUAACUCCAAAGUAAGAACAGCUCGGAAAUCCAGAUUUAACUACUUAAAGAUAAAUUUUCAAGUAACGAUUUUUUCCAGUAGUCUGAUAUUUUACCUGUAUUAUUACAAUGAGAGCAGCCACAAUAGGUGGACCAAUAACUACAGAAAGGAAAAUUCCCUUUAUCAUGUCCCUAAAGAAUAGCCAUGGUGUUUGCUGUAUGAUAGAUGACAAAAAAAUGUUAGAAUGCAAGCAUAUAUGAAUUUCGCAACAGAUAAACUUCUAUUAAU